rnacentral:rRNA from 1 species
UAACCUGCCCAAGAGACUGGGAUAACACCUGGAAACAGAUGCUAAUACCGGAUAACAACACUAGACGCAUGUCUAGAGUUUAAAAGAUGGUUCUGCUAUCACUCUUGGAUGGACCUGCGGUGCAUUAGCUAGUUGGUAAGGUAACGGCUUACCAAGGCAAUGAUGCAUAGCCGAGUUGAGAGACUGAUCGGCCACAUUGGGACUGAGACACGGUCCAAACUCCUACGGGAGGCAGCAGCA